AAUCAACGCUGGCGGCGUGCCUCAGACAUGCAAGUCGAACGCGAAAGUUUCCUUCGGGAAGCAAGUAGAGUGGCGUCCGGGUGAGUAACACGUAGGUAAUCUACCUUUGGGUGGGGAAUAACAACCGGAAACGGUUGCUAAUACCGCAUAAUGCAGCGGCAUCACAUGAUGACAGUUGUUAACGCGGGGGAUCGCAAGACCUCGCGCCUAAAGAGGAGCCUGCGGCGGAUUAGCUAGUUGGUAGGGUAACGGCCUACCAAGGCAACGAUCCGUAGCCGGCCUGAGAGGGCGGUCGGCCACACUGACACUGAAAUACGGGUCAGACUCCUACGGGAGGCAGCAGUGGGGAAUCUUGCGCAAUGGGCGAAAGCCUGACGCAGCGACGCCGCGUGAGGGAUGACGGCCU
rnacentral:rRNA from 1 species